UACGUACACAUAUUAUACGUUGUAUUCUAUAAUAUAUAUACCAUAUUUAUGAAUAUUAAAUAUGAAAUAAUGAAAUUCUAAUAUAUGAAUAGGUGUUGGUUCUCUGGUAACUCUGAAGAUAAAUCUCCUUUUACGGGGGGAGGGAAGACCUGAGCAAUCGAUAUUACUUCGUUGAAUUUAUUCUACAAUCUGUAUAUAUCAUAUAUGAAUAUUUUUAAAAAUUAAGUGUUUAAAUUUCUACAAAUACUGAUCACGAUAAAUAUUCUAUCGAAAUUGGCAUAAAAUUAAUGGCUGCUAAAAAUAAAUCAUAAAAUGAAAUGUUUAUCUGAACUGUUGAAUAAUCAACAUUAAAAAGAAAGGAUGAUAAUGAUCGAAUACAUGAUCUUGAUUUGAUCGAAUAUUGAUUUUCUAUUAUUCUUACUUUAAUGCGUAUUAAAUUGAUUUUGACACUACAAAAAUAUAUAAAUAACAAUGAAAAUAAAGAAUGACCAACUGUUAAACAUGAAAAAACGGGUAUUCCUCCGUUUUUACAGUUGUACCAACUCGUACGAAUUUUAGUAACGAGAAUUUUCUAUAUAUUAUUUUCGUAUUUGCUUAAUUAAUUUGUUAUAAAUAAUCUUUUAAAGUAAAACUCGUUAAAUAUGUAAUAAAACUAUAUUAACGUAUUUAUUUCUAAAUUAUCUUCACCCCAAAUACACUAUACCAAUAAUUUUCAAGCGAAAAUCUAGUAAAUGUAACGGUGUAGUACGAUUUUAAGUGACACUCACUGUAUAUUUAUUUAUAGUGCAUUUAUUGGUACAGUUCGAAAAAUGAACAGAGUUGUAAGUUGUUUAAGUUGCACUAUCGCGCUAUUCGUUUACUGUAACAUUAAUAAAACUUUACGUUAUUAUUGAGAACAUUUACUUAUACACAGCUAAAAAUACAUAGCAUUGAAGGACAUCUCUUAUCGAUAGCUAAAGUGGAUAAUAGAAUAUGCCAGCGCUUUUACAGCGUUCUAAGAAGGAGAGAUACCUCGAACAUAGGGAGGGGAAGCAUGACAAUUUCCAUGGCAGCUACGUGGCAAAAUUAGUGAAAGGCGCCUCAAAGCUUCA